GUCAGGGACCGGCAGCCCCGGCAGCCCGGCUCGCCGCUGGCUGAGGGAGACUCGCCGAGGGACAGGAAGACGAGGGACGGGAGCACACGAGCCGCCCCUCGAUUGCAGCAGGUUCCCUCUCUUCCUCCUCUCUCCCUGCUGCCUCCUUCCUCCGCGCAACCGAGAUGUCAGCUGAACGUGAUGUUGUAAAAUCCAUGUGAGGACGAAAGACAGAUGCAAUGAUUUGAAAGGUCUCUGACUUUGGAGGAACAACAGAUUUUUGCCUACUGGAAGAAUGCAGUGAAACUGCCAAUAUUUCUAGCUGGAAUUAUAAAUUUAAUAUUCAACUUUAGUGUUACAAGUUUCUUACUAAAUAGUACCUCAAAGUAGAAGAAAAAUGUAUGGAAGUGCAAGAACAAUCAGCAACUUAGAAGGAAGUCCCUCCAGGUCUCCUCGUUUGCCAAGAUCUCCUCGCCUGGGCCAUAGGCGAACAAAUAGUGGGGGAGGAGGAGGUACAGGUAAGACGUUAUCAAUGGAGAACAUCCAGUCCCUUAAUGCAGCCUAUGCAACAUCUGGACCAAUGUAUCUGAGUGACCAUGAAGGUGUAGCUUCUACUACAUUCCCAAAGGGCACAAUGACUCUUGGAAGGGCUACAAAUCGAGCUGUGUAUGGUGGUCGAGUCACAGCUAUGGGGAGCAGUCCUAAUAUUGCUUCAGCUGGACUUUCACACACAGAUGUCCUUUCUUAUACUGAUCAACAUGGAGGUCUGACCACAUCUUCACACCAUCACCACCAUCAGGUUCCUUCUAUGCUGAGGCAGGUUAGAGAUAGUACCAUGUUAGACCUGCAGGCUCAGCUUAAGGAACUACAGAGAGAGAAUGAUCUUCUCAGAAAAGAACUAGACAUUAAGGACAGCAAGCUGGGAUCCUCCAUGAAUAGCAUCAAAACCUUCUGGAGUCCUGAGCUAAAGAAAGAAAGAGUUUUGAGGAAAGAAGAAGCAGCCAGAAUGUCAGUUCUUAAAGAACAAAUGAGAGUUUCCCAUGAAGAAAAUCAGUUUUUGGAUGCCAGGAGAACAAAGCAUCUGCAAAUGACAAUCCAGGCACUUCAAGAUGAGCUUAGAACCCAGAGAGACCUUAAUCAUCUUCUUCAGCAAGAAAGUGGAAACCGAGGGGCUGAGCAUUUUACCAUUGAGCUCACGGAGGAGAAUUUUCGAAGACUUCAAGCAGAACAUGAUAGACAGGCUAAAGAGCUCUUUCUAUUGAGAAAAACGCUAGAAGAAAUGGAACUUAGGAUUGAAACACAAAAGCAAACACUAAAUGCCAGAGAUGAAUCAAUAAAAAAGCUUCUGGAAAUGUUGCAAAGUAAAGGUUUGCCAACUAAAGGAAUGGAAGAUGACAAUGAGAGAACUCGAAGGAUGGCAGAGGCUGAAUCUCAGGUUAAUCAUUUAGAAGUGAUUUUAGAUCAGAAGGAGAAGGAGAACAUGCAUCUUAGAGAGGAAUUACAUAGAAGAACUCAACUUCAACCUGAGCCAGCAAAGACGAAGGCUCUUCAAACAGUUAUUGAAAUGAAGGAUACAAAAAUAGCUUCACUUGAGCGCAAUAUAAGAGAUCUUGAAGAUGAGAUACAGAUGUUAAAGACAAAUGGAGUUCUGAAUACAGAGGACCGAGAAGAAGAAAUCAAACAAAUAGAAGUUUACAAGAGUCACUCAAAGUUCAUGAAAAAUAAGAUUGACCAACUGAAACAAGAACUCUCAAAGAAAGAAUCAGAACUUCUUGCCUUACAAACUAAGCUUGAAACCCUUAGCAAUCAAAAUUCAGAUUGCAAGCAACACAUUGAAGUGCUUAAAGAGUCACUUACUGCCAAAGAACAGAGAGCUGCCAUACUUCAAACGGAGGUUGAUGCCUUGCGGUUACGAUUGGAAGAAAAAGAAACCUUUCUGAAUAAAAAAACAAAACAACUUCAAGACCUCACGGAAGAGAAAGGAACCCUGGCUGGAGAAAUUCGAGAUAUGAAAGACAUGUUGGAAGUAAAAGAAAGAAAAAUUAAUGUCCUUCAAAAAAAGAUUGAAAACCUGCAGGAGCAACUUAGGGACAAGGACAAACAACUAACUAAUCUAAAAGACAGAGUGAAGUCAUUGCAGACAGAUUCUAGUAACACAGACACAGCACUAGCAACCUUAGAAGAAGCUCUAUCAGAGAAGGAAAGAAUAAUAGAGCGCUUGAAGGAGCAAAGGGAACGAGAUGACAGAGAAAGACUUGAAGAAAUUGAAUCUUAUAAAAAAGAAAACAAAGACCUGAAGGAGAAAGUUAAUGCUUUACAAGCUGAACUGACAGAAAAAGAGUCUAGUUUAAUCGAUCUCAAAGAACAUGCAUCUUCAUUGGCAUCAGCAGGGCUGAAAAGAGACUCCAAACUUAAGUCUUUAGAAAUAGCCAUAGAACAAAAGAAAGAAGAGUGUAGUAAGUUGGAAGCACAGUUGAAAAAGCAAGCUGAACAGUUGUUCAAUCAGAUGUACAAUCCAAUGCCAAUUAGGAAUAAUGGGAAGCAAGGGGCUCAUGAGGCUGAAGAGGAGGCACGGAUGAAUCCAGAAUUUGCAGACAGAAUGAAACAACUUGACAAAGAGGCAUCGUACUAUAGAGAAGAAUGUGGCAAAGCUCAGGCUGAGGUUGACAGACUUCUAGAAAUACUCAAGGAAGUAGAGAAUGAGAAGAAUGACAAAGAUAAAAAAAUUGCUGAGUUAGAAAGCUUGACUUCCAGACAUAUGAAGGACCAAACCAAGAAGGUUGCCAAUCUGAAGCACAAUCAGCAAAUGGAGAAAAAAAAGAAUGCACAGUUGUUGGAAGAAGUUCGUAGACGAGAGGACAAUAUGACUGACAACUCUCAACAUUUACAAGUAGAAGAGCUGAUGAAUGCACUGGAAAAGACUAGACAAGAAUUAGAUUCUACCAAGGCCCGUCUUGCUUCAACACAGCAGUCUUUGGCUGAAAAAGAAGCACAUCUAGCUAACUUGAGAAUAGAGCGAAGAAAACAGCUUGAAGAAAUUCUAGAAAUGAAACAGGAAGCUUUGCUUGCUGCAAUUAGUGAAAAAGAUGCAAACAUUGCCUUGCUUGAACUGUCUGCUUCAAAGAAAAAGAAGACUCAAGAGGAAGUAAUGGCUCUUAAACGAGAGAAGGACAGAUUAGUACAUCAGUUAAAACAGCAGACACAAAACAGAAUGAAACUGAUGGCAGAUAACUACGAUGAUGACCAUCACCACUACCACCACCAUCACCACCACCACCAUCAUCGAUCUCCUGGGAGGCCACAACACUCCAACCACAGACCCUCUCCAGAUCAGAUGAUCCAGUCACUGUUGGAGGCACAUAGCCACGGCAAAAUCUCAUGCUGUACAUUGAUCACCUGUCCAACCUUUGCCUAGAGUGUGAUCCCCAGUUCCUUCAAGAGAUCCAUCUUUACCUGUCUAUAAAGAAGAAGAGGAGGAGGGAGACAUCUGGGAUAUUCAAGUAUCAAAGUUUAACACCAGAGCAGUUGUCAGAGGAACUAGCGAAAGAGAAAGAAAAAAAUGUAGCACUGGAAGCUAACGAUGAUAAUCUAUUGCAUUGGAUCUCUAAAUAUGACCAUGAUGUCCUGGAGAAGAUCACAGAUGCAGAAAAUGAAUGCUAAGAUUGAUAUCUAAUGAAAUGCUGCAUUAAUUGGCAUUUUCUCCAUUAUCUCUUGUAGUCUGCUAUGAAAUUAGAUACUUUGGAAAAUAAUGAAGGACUCAAGCAGAAAUUAUAAGAGCUUCAUUUCUGUCUUUAAUGGGUAUUGCAAGUUAUUCUGUUUUCACAAAGAAACCAUCUGUUCAGAAUAUUAUUGUUUAAUGAAGUUCACUUAAACAGGUUAUUUAACUAAUUUUUGGUAAAUUGGUAUUGAUUUUAAUAAGCAAUUCAGAUUCUCUUAGAUGUGGUAUCUGCAUUUGCUGGUUUUACCUAGUCUAUUCUAAAGUAUCACUUCUAUUGCACUAGAUUAUCAAAGAGGUAUUAGUAAAAUGCUAUAUAAGGGUGUUGGCAUUAAUCUUACCCCCAGUUAGAUGCGGGCUUUUCCAAAAAAUAAAAACCAAGCCUUUACCCUCCUCUGUUUUCUUAUAUCUAUUGAUAUAUAUAUUUUUUUUUAAUACUAAAAGAGUAACCAAAAAAACAUUGAUAGUAUAACUGGUAUUAAGCUCUGGGCCAGGUUGGAAAUGAAAUCAAUUUUUGGUACUAACAACUGAUGACAAAGAUUAGCUUUAUGAAAAUAUGGUGUGUGUCUCUGACAAUGCAUAGGACAUCUAAUUUGAGCAUAAAUAUAAGAUUAUAUACAAGAUGUAUCUAUUCCUGGACGGUAAAAGCUUGAGGCAUAUAUAGAUACAUAUGUAUGUAUAUAUAUUGACAUAUACACAAGGAUGUAUCAACCUUUUACCAUCCAAAUGCAUACAGGUUUUCAACAAUAAAAGCUGGGACUCUUAAAAAAAAAAUAAACAAAACCAACAAAAAUAAUAAGUUUUCUGUGAAUACAGUAUAUGCACUAGGUCUCCUGUAAACGAGGAACUGUUUGUUAUUGUUUUCUACAUUGAAAAACAGUCUCCAACAUGGAUCCCAAUGAAUCUGAGACGUUAAAGAAAAUCUCAAUCAACAAAUGUCACUUAAAAGCUGUUUGUAUCAACAAAAUGUAUCUAAUAAAAUAAAUUUAAAUCACAUGCAAGGAAAAAUAAAAAUGUGAAGUCAUUACAUUCAGUGAGAGAAUAUAACUGAUAGUCAAAUUUCUACCACUUCUCAAGGAGAGAAUCCUUAUGACUCCAUGAAUAUUUCAGUUGGUCUGGCAAACAUGUGCAAAUGUUUGGCUGUUUUAUUGAGAAAUCUUUUUGUCCAUGGAAGAAUGCUUCCAUGCUGACAGGAGUGGGAAUAGAAUAUCUGCAUUUUUAAAGGACAAACAAUAAAUUUAAGCAUGGGUGGCCUUAAUCCUUAGUAGAUUUUCUUUGCUGCUGUAAAAAAAGAGAAAUUAAAUGGAUACUCCUAAAGUCUUGCACUGAAUUUAGAAAAAUUAUUUUUGAACCUGUGGUGCAAUUAACCCUAAACAUCUUACACGAGCCAUACAUAGUAACCCCUUUAAAAUUAUUGUCUAGAGAUGAUAUUUUAUUUAUUUGUACCAUAAUUCUUGGCACAAUCAAAGAGCAAUUUAUUCGAGCAGGAGUCCUGCUGGAUGCUACUGUCUUCAGUAAGUAGAGUAAAAUGUAUAGAAUUAGUAUAGCAUAGAUAAUCCCAAUUUCAUUAAUGUUUAAAAAGUUUGUCCUUUAACUAUCAAUGGCAUUUUAGAUCUUUGUUUUUGAAACAGCAAAGCUUUUGGGAGUAUAUUUAGCACAUAUGACAAAUGUUGCACUUGGAAACUCAGACAACAAAACUAGUUUCUCAUGACAAAUUUGUUGUCGCAGUAGGGGACAAUCGUCUGUGUCUCUUACAAUCAGGUCUUUACCUUAACUCUGCAACUGAAUACUUGAAGUAGGAAAUAAACUAGGGGGGGAAUAGGGUCACAGAUACAAAGCUGUAUAGUUAGAUAUUUAUAUGUAUGUGCCAAUUUUGUCACAGAUAUUAUUUUAGGGGCAUUUCUGCUCCACUCAUGUUGGUAAGAGUAUUAAUCUAAACUUUUAUCAGGGCCUACAAGUUAGCCCCUAAAGAGGAAAAUUUUGUCUAACAUUGCUUUUUUCUUUCUUCCUUUUUUUUUUUUUCUUUUCAUUUCAUGUGAUAUUCUAUGAUGUUUGGAGAAAAUCUUUUCAUAUACUAAAAUAGAAUCUCGGGGUUUACAAUAAACACUGUGAUGUUGGGAAAUAUUUUAUUUGAGCAAAGUUUGGUAGGCUUUUUCCCCCCUCUAAGUGUAAAGAAGCAAACCAAUUUUUGGUUAAUAUUUAUUGUUAUUAUUAUUAUU